rnacentral:rRNA from 1 species
UACGUAGGGUGCGAGCGUUUAAUCGGAAUUACUGGGCGUAAAGCGUGCGCAGGCGGUUCGUUGUGUCCGGUGUGAAAGCCCCGAGCUUAACUUGGGAAUGGCAUUGGAAACUGGCGAGCUGGAGUGUGGCAGGAGGGGGGGUGGAAUUCCGACGUGUAGCAGUGAAAUGCGUAGAGAUGUGGAGGAACACCGAUGGCGAAGGCAGCCCCCUGGGCCAACACUGACGCUCAGGCACGAAAGCGUGGGGAGCAAACAGG